UGUUACCUGCCUAAGUGAGCAUACUCCCGGAAACUGGGGUAAUCUCCAUAUGGAUGUAUCUGGAAUGUAUAUCCUCGAAGAUCCGUCGCUUAGGAUGGACUGCGUCCGAUUAGGUUGUUGGCGGGUAACGGCCCACCAAGCCAUUGAUCGGUACGGGUUGUGGGAGCAAGAUCCCGGAGAUGGAUUCUGAGACAUGAAUCCAGGCCCUACGGGCGCAGCAGGCGCGAAAACUUUACAAUGCGGGAAACCGUGAUAAGGGGACACCGAGUGCCAGCAUCAUAUGCUGGCUGUCCGGAUGUGUAAAAUACAUCCGUUAGCAAGGGCCGGGCAAGACCGGUGCCAGCCGCCGCGGUAACGCCGGCGGCCCGAGUGGUGAUCGUGAUUAUUGGGUCUAAAGGGUCCGUAGCCGGUUUGGUCAGUCCUCCGGGAAAUCUGAUAGCUCAACUAUUAGGCUUUCGGGGGAUACUGCCAGACUUGGAACCGGGAGAGGUAAGAGGUACUACAGGGGUAGGAGUGAAAUCUUGUAAUCCCUGUGGGACCACCUGUGGCGAAGGCGUCUUACCAGAACGGGUUCGACGGUGAGGGACGAAAGCUGGGGGCACGAACCGGAUUAGAUACCCGGGUAGUCCCAGCCGUAAACGAUGCUCGCUAGGUGUCAGGCAUGGCGCGACCGUGUCUGGUGCCGCAGGGAAGCCGUGAAGCGAGCCACCUGGGAAGUACGGCCGCAAGGCUGAAACUUAAAGGAAUUGGCGGGGGAGCACCACAACGGGUGGAGCUUGCGGUUUAAUUGGAUUCAACGCCGGG
rnacentral:rRNA from 1 species